AGAAACGGAGUACUCCACUACUGUAUUAUCGAGCCCAUCAAUGCAACAUGUCCUCAACUACGCAUUCGUAUUUAAAUUGCUUGGCCGUGCUACAUCAUUUGACCUUUGGAAACUACAACUGAAAUGGGGUAGAAUCAUUCCCUCCACACUAAGAUAUGCAUGGCUCAAGGUAUCGAAAUUUAGCCACCGAUGCCGUUACCCUAAAGUUUUAGCUUGAAUGCGUCAAAGAAACCAACUAUAUAUGAACCUCGGCGGUCUCAGAUUCUGGGCACAAAAUACUUCGCAAACCUUGCAGCACUGUCAAUGGAGAGAGCAUCUCAAAUCACCUUCUUCUUGUUGCUCAUAUCAUCCAUUUCGGCGUAGCUCAAAAUGCUACCACAAGUGGUGCAGAUGAGUUCCCUGUCGGAGUGAUCCUCGACCUGGAUUCGUUGGGGGGCAGGAUGUCACGGACCAGCAUUUCGAUGGCCCUGGAAGACUUCUAUGCAGUCCACAGAAACUACACCCCGAAGCUAGUUCUCCACAUCAGGGACUCCAAAAGUAACAAUGUCCAAGCUGCAUCAGCAGGUAAAAGUUCUGCCGUCUGUCAUGAAAACCCUUUUUCCUACUCCCUCCGUUGCUACAUAUGCUUCAGAAUACAACUUUUUUUUACCCUGUCUUCAAAGUACAACUUAUAUAACCGACUUUCAUCAAUCAAGUUAGUAUAAGCUACAAAAGUGAAAUAUUAUGAACACAGUUUCGGUGAAAAAUAACAUAGUUAUCCUCCAACGUGCCACCACUACUAAUGGACAAAGUUGGGAGAGUUUAAUAGUAACAUUUAUCAAAGGAUUUAACGGAUUUUACUUUGGAACGAGUGUUUUUGGCUAUAUCUUAACUUUCCAUGUGCUUCAUAAUACUUCUGUUUAACAAUAGACAUCCAACUAACAAAUGUCCAUGAACAGAACAGUUGUAAAUCAAAUAAAUAGGUACUAACAAGGCUAAUUUAUGUACUUUAAGCAUAUAUCUCUCGCUAAAGUUCAGAAACAUACAAAACUACUAAACUCUUACUAAGUUACUAUUACCAAUAAAUAUUUACAACACUUUUUUGCAAGGAAAUGUUAUGAGUUUUACUCUCAUAAAGGUUAGUGCAUACACAUUUAAUAACCCAAUUAUGUGUAGCUUAGCUUACCCUUGAUGAGUUUGCUAGUCUGAGAAACCUUAACAACAAAAUGAUAACUGCCAGUUCCUACCCGGUUGUAAUCUGGUUAGCCACCUGAUUGUUGUGAAGUAACUGGGUUCAAAAUUCAAUACCCAGAGAUUAUAGAUUUACUCAUGUUUUCAGAUGUAUGGUCAUCUGUAAUUUGUGAAAUUUAAUCGUAUGACAUAUUCACUACGUAAACUUUCGACAAUGGAUAGCUAUCUUUGCUGGGCAAAUGCUUCAGCGUGCUUUUUAUGAUAAGGUUCUGUGAACCCAGUUACUUGACCAGAGCCAUGGUGUUGAUCCCUUCGUAUCUGAACUGUUCUCUCCGUACUAACAGAGUAACAGAGAGACUAAUCAACCAUCUCUAUUCACAAAAAAUCAGAAUAUAGCAGGUGGACUUAGAAAUCAGAAUGGAGUUAUUAGCAGUCAUCUUUCUACUUGAUGACCCUUUUUUCUCAAUGGAAAUAUUAAGUUCACUUACAAUUAAAAAAUACACCAAAAUACCUUCAAACAAUCCUCCAGAUGGAUCAAGGAAAUAUCCCUAUGAUAGCAUGACCUG
rnacentral:lncRNA from 1 species